rnacentral:rRNA from 1 species
CCUACGGGGGGCAGCAGUGAGGAAUAUUGGUCAAUGGGCGCGAGCCUGAACCAGCCAAGUAGCGUGAAGGAUGACUGCCCUACGGGUUGUAAACUUCUUUUAUAAAGGAAUAAAGUGAGGCACGCGUGCCUUUUUGUAUGUACUUUAUGAAUAAGGAUCGGCUAAAUCCGUGCCAGCAGCCGCGGUAAUACGGAGGAUUCGAGCGUUAUCCGGAUUUAUUGGGUGUAAAGGGAGCGUAGAUGGGUUGUUAAGUCAGUUGUGAAAGUGUGCGGCUCAACCGUAAAAUUGCAAUUGAUACUGGCAGGCUGGAGUACAGUAGAGGUAGGCGGAAUUCGUGGUGUAGCGGUGAAAUGCUUAGAUAUCACGAAGAACUCCGAUGGCGAAGGCAGCUUACUAGACUGCAACUGACAUUGAGGCUCGAAAGUGUGGGGAGCAAACAGGAUUAGAUACCCGAGUAGUC